rnacentral:rRNA from 1 species
CAGCCGCCGCGGUAAUACGUAGGGUGCAAGCGUUAAUCGGAAUUACUGGGCGUAAAGCGUGCGCAGGCGGUUAUAUAAGACAGAUGUGAAAUCCCCGGGCUCAACCUGGGAACUGCAUUUGUGACUGUAUAGCUAGAGUACGGCAGAGGGGUAUGGAAUUCCGCGUGUAGCAGUGAAAUGCGUAGAUAUGCGGAGGAACACCGAUGGCGAAGGCAAUCCCCUGGGCCUGUACUGACGCUCAUGCACGAAAGCGUGGGGAGCAAACAGGAUUAGAUACCCCGGUAGUCCCUGUCUCUUAUAC